UUGACAACCGAGUGUUUUCCUUUUGGCCAUCACUCGAAAAAUUAAACCAAUCAGAACAUGACAGCUGUCAAACAGGUUACAGCUGUUUGUCUGCAGUCACAGCUGUUUGUCUGCAGUCAAAAAAGACCCAAAAAGUUGUUUUCUGGUUCUCUGAUCCUUGCCUGUCCGGCCCUUUGUCUGACAAAGCUGAAAAGCUAACAAAUCUUUGGCCUGCUUCUCUUCUUGCAACACAAGAAAACAACACAAACCUUCUAGAAACUACUACAGCAGAUCUGGACGAAAAAAGGUAGGUGAAAAGAACACAAUAAACAUCUGGACGAGCGGGACAGGGGAAACCACUUUACCCCCAAGAUCUGGACGAGGAAGAGUGUCAACAGAGGGAAGGAGGAGAGCAGGGUACUUACCAGAUCUCUUGUACGAGAGGAGGACAAGAGCACAGGAUGGAAGAAGAUGAUGGUGAUGGAGGAAAAACUCAAGCUGUUGAUGCAGAUCCCGGUUUGGAGAACCAGCAAGCCAGCCAGGGUCAGUAUACACAGCUGAUGCAGGACAUGAUAUUUCUUGGCAGUCAAGGAGAUCCUUCUUUACAGAACAUGUCAUAUUUGGAAUUGCUUGGUGUGAGUCCAUCAAAUUAGAAUGAAAUCAUGUCGGACACACAGGAUGCACACCAUGGUGUUCGAUUGGCUGAUGGUUGCGACUAUG